rnacentral:rRNA from 1 species
GACGAACGCUGGCGGCGUGCCUAACACAUGCAAGUCGAGCGACGAACCAGGGCUUGCCCUGGGGCAACGCAGCGAACGGGUGAGUAACACGCGGGUAACUUACCCCCCUAACCGGGACAACCCGAGGAAACACGGGCUAGUACCGGACGUGCUAACUGGACAUCGGCUCGGUUCGAAAGGGAAAGUCGGGCUUCCGUUCCGGGAGGGGCGGACGCCCGCCGCAUUAGUUGGUUGGUAAGGUAACGGCUAACCACGGGGGGGGUGGGUGGCCGGCCUGAGAGGGCGAUCAGCCACACUGGAACUGAGACACGGUCCAGACUCCUACGGGAGGCAGCAGUAGGGAAUCUUGCGCAAUGGGCGAAAGCGUGACGGAGCAACGCCGCGUGGGGGAUGAAGGUCUUCGGAUUGUAAAACUCUUUUAUGAGGGACGAACGUACGGCUGAGAAUAGACGCCCGGACUGACGGUACCUACACAAGAAGCCCCGGCUAACUACGUG